rnacentral:rRNA from 1 species
UACGGGGGGGGUAAGCGUUGUUCGGAAUUACUGGGCGUAAAGGGCUCGUAGGCGGCCAACUAAGUCAGACGUGAAAUCCCUCAGCUUAACUGGGGAACUGCGUCUGAUACUGGAUGGCUUGGAUUUGGGAGAGGGAUGCGGAAUUCCAGGUGUAGCGGUGAAAUGCGUAGAUAUCUGGAGGAACACCGGUGGCGAAGGCGGCAUCCUGGACCAACAUUGACGCUGAGGAGCGAAAGCCAGGGGAGCAAACAGG